UCUUCUUCGCUCUGUAAAUAUCCUUAAUUCAACAUCGAGGUCAUAAUCUUUCUAAUCAAUAUGGUCUAUCAAGAAAAUUAUGCUGUUAUCCCUGAAGUAAUUUAUUCUUAUUGUCCAAUUUAAGGGUCCUUUUAAUCACUAACCAGUGUCAUGUCGAAUAUAGUUUAAAUAUAUUAGCCUUCCCAGCCAAAACGAUUUGAAAUCCGGUUAUUUUACCCACCUUAUCAAUUGUUAUAAUUUUACAGGGUCUUAUCGUCCCUGAGUUAUAUGCUUACGAAUUUUCACGAAAGUUUUAAUUUUCUUUUAUUGUAAGGAUAGCAAUUUUCCGUAAAUCCUUUCAUACUAUCUCUCAUUUAAAGAGCAAAUUAUUAUGCUACCUUAGUAUAGUUAGGGUACUAUAGCCAUUAACAUCUGCAUUGGGCAGGACUGACCUAAUAUCUAUAUUCAUUGAGACAUGUUU
rnacentral:rRNA from 1 species